rnacentral:rRNA from 1 species
GAUGAACGCUGGCGGCGUGCCUAACACAUGCAAGUCGAACGGAAAGACAAUAAGGUCGUUCGCUUACCGGUAGCGAGUGACGGGCGAGUGAGGAAUACACCCGAAGCUAAUUUUUCGGGGAGCAUAACGUAAGGAAAGUUACGGUAAGACAACAUAGCAUCUACUGGAUAAUUCAAUGGUACUUGAUAGCUUGCGCGAUUUACAUAGCCGCUGUCGGAUUCUCUAGUUGAUUGGGUAAUGGACCACCAAGCCGACGAUCCGUAGCUGGUCUGAGAGGAUGAUCAGCCACACUGGAACUGAGCCACGGUCCAGCCUCCUACGGGAGGCAGCAGUGGGGAAUUUUGGCCAAUGGGCGAAAGCUUGACGCAGCCAUCCCGCGUGGGUGAAGAAGGUCUUCGGGUUGUAAAGCCCUUUUGUUGGGAAAGAAGAGCGGUAGAUUAAUACCUCGACGUUCUGACGGUACCUAAACAAAAAGCAACGGCUAACUACGUG